rnacentral:rRNA from 1 species
GAUGAACGCUGGCGGCGUGCUUAACACAUGCAAGUCGAACGGUGAAGCAGGAGCUUGCUCUUGUGGAUCAGUGGCGAACGGGUGAGUAACACGUGAGCAACCUGCCCCUGACUCUGGGAUAAGCGCUGGAAACGGCGUCUAAUACUGGAUAUGUGAUGUGACCGCAUGGUCUGCAUCUGGAAAGAAUUUCGGUUGGGGAUGGGCUCGCGGCCUAUCAGCUUGUUGUUGAGGUAAUGGCUCACCAAGGCGUCGACGGGUAGCCGGCCUGAGAGGGUGAGCGGCCACACUGUGACUUGGACACGGCCCAGACUCCUACGAGAGGCAGCAGGGGGGAAUAAUGCACAAUGGGCGGAAGCCUUAUGCAGCAACGCCGCGUGAGGGAUGACGGCCUUCGGGUUGUAAACCUCUUUUAGCAGUGAAGAAGCGAAAGUGACGGUACCUGCAGAAAAAGCACCGGCUAACUACGUGCCAGCCGCCGCAGUAA